rnacentral:tRNA from 1 species
GGAGAGGUGGCCGAGUGGUUGAAGGCGCACGCUUGGAAAGCGUGUUGGGUGGAAACAUUCACGCAGGUUCGAAUCCUGUUCUCUCCGCCA